rnacentral:rRNA from 1 species
GUGGGGAAUAUUAGGCAAUGGGCGAAAGCCUGACCUAGCGACGCCGCGUGAGGGAAGACGGUCUUCGGAUUGUAAACCUCUGUCUUCAGGGACGAAGAAGAUGACGGUACCUGAAGAGGAAGCCACGGCUAACUACGUGCCAGCAGCCGCGGUAAUACGUAGGUGGCGAGCGUUGUCCGGAAUUACUGGGUGUAAAGGGAGCGUAGGCGGGUACGCAAGUUGAAUGUGAAAACUAACGGCUCAACCGAUAGUUGCGUUCAAAACUGCGGAUCUUGAGUGAAGUAGAGGCAGGCGGAAUUCCUAGUGUAGCGGUAAAAUGCGUAGAUAUUAGGAGGAACACCAGUGGCGAAGGCGGCCUGCUGGGCUUUAACUGACGCUGAGGCUCGAAAGUGUGGGGAGCAAACAGGAUUAGAAACCCUUGUAGUCC